GCGGUCUUUUCUUCGACGGCCUAACAUUGUUGUACACUUUUUCCGCUGUUUUCGCAUUUUGCGGGUAUUUCCCCAAUUGAAGACAAAGGUGACGUUACUAACUUCACAGCGGGCCGCCCUUCAGAACAUCUUGCCUUCGACGACGAGGAGAGUUGGUUGACCACUGCCUUUGGUAACAGCCCACUCACUGCCAAGAUGUUCAUGGUUGCAGUGGACCAGGUUAUAGUCACUGAACAGCUUCCCAGCUUUACUAAUGCUUUUCAGAUGAUGUUCUG